rnacentral:lncRNA from 1 species
UUUACCCUUGGUCAAAGUCAACCCUCGGUCAAAGUCAACUCUCGGUCAAAGUCAACCCACAGUUGACCUGACUCGCCGAGUUGGGCCGCCAACUCGCCGAGUCCCUAUUCUCACUCCUCGACCCUACUCGCUGCUACUCGUCGAGUAUGACAUCGACUCGACGAGUACCCUCUCGAUCCAAGAACUCAGACAAUCUUCAUCCGACUCGCCGAGUCAUAUGAACAACUCGACGAGUUGUUCUUGAGCUUAAGAAGAUUGCCUUGGACUCGCCGAGUUGUAUGAACAACUCGCCGAGUCCCUCCAUUACUGAGUCUACCCUCAAACUCGCUGAGUCCACUCCACUACUCACUGGUCCCACUCGACACCGCUCAAAAGGAAGAAAUCGGGGACUCGCGACUCGACUCGCCGAGUCGUUCUUCCGACUCGCCGAGUCACCGCCAUGCAACUAUUCUACACUCGAUUCUGCUCGAAUCCAAAACAUACAAAUGAUAGAUCUGAGUCCAAUAAGCUGAUUUACCACGUAAAGUUUCCAACUUUACGUGUACAAACACAUGAACAAGGGAAUAAAGGCUAAAAGAUGCUUAAAAGGGGUAGAUCUAGGGUUAAUAUGCAAAAUAGCUCCAUAAAGGCAAUAGAUCUGGGCUCUACAACUCCUAAAUGAACAGAUCUAAGGAUAUCUCGGCAUAAAAGAGCUUCCAUAUCAACAUAAGGCUUGAGAAAAGCAUCAACAAGAUCUAGAAAGGGUUUUAAAUCAUAAAAGGGAAGGAAAUCUGAAGAAUACCUGAAAGAGCUCUUGCUUUCCCUUGAAUCUCUGCUCUACAAUCCUUCUCCUUGCUCCUUUCUUCUUCUCCUUCUUCAAGCCUUCACAAUUGCACACAAAAUCACUUAGAAUCACUCAAGAACGAAUUAGGGUUUUCUCACAGCUUCUGAGGGUGAAGGAGGCGAGAUUGGAGGCCAUAAGGUGGCUUAAAUAGUGGGCAACCCGGGGAUUUAGGGUUUCUCCCAGACGGACAGACUCGCCGAGUCCGGAAUAUGGACUCGCCGAGUCGCCAGCUAACACGUGCUCGAAAUCCCGACCCUACUCGGCGAGUCAGGCUAUGAACUCGCCGAGUCCCUCUUGCAAAACUUCAAAAUAAAUACCAAGGAAUUAUCAUACCGGAAACGGGUCGUUACAAUUCUCCCCCACUUAUCUCAGACUUCGUCCUCGAAGUCUGCUACGGCUGAAUCUGCAAAUAUCUCUGGGUAGUGCUCUCUCAUCUCCUCCUCAGCCUCCCACGUCCACUCAGACCCCUUCCGGUGCUGCCACUGCACCUUCACUAACUGAAUUACCUUGUUCCUCAAGGUCUUGGUCUUCCGGUCCAGAAUCGCGACCGGCCUCUCAAUAUAAUUCAGGCUGCUAUCAACCUGAAUAUCCUCUAGGGGAACGACUGCUGACUCAUCCACCAAACACUUCCUCAACUGAGACACAUGGAAAGUGUUGUGGAUCUGACUAAGCUCCUCAGGAAGAUCUAACCGAUAAGCAACCCGACCCACCCGGGCCAAAACCCUGAAAGGACCAAUAAAUCUGGGGCCCAACUUGCCCCUCUUCCGGAACCUGAUGACACCCUUCCAAGGUGAGACCUUCAGAAGGACCAUAUCCCCCACCUGGAACUCCAAGUCCGAACGCCUCCUAUCGGCGUAGCUCUUCUGCCGACUCUGAGCAGUCUGCAGUCUACUACGGACCUGCUGGAUCAACUCGGUCGUCUUGAGCACCACCUCUGUGCUCCCGAUGACUCGCUGACCGACCUCGCCCCAACAAAUCGGGGUCCUACACUUCCUCCCAUACAGCAUCUCAAAGGGAGGUCGAUCAAUGCUCGCAUGAUAACUGUUGUUAUACGAGAAUUCCGCUAACGGAAGAUACGUAUCCCAACUGCCACCGAAAUCUAGGACACAUGCCCUAAGCAUAUCCUCGAGAGUCUGAAUCGUCCUCUCGCUCUGCCCGUCUGUCUGAGGGUGGAAAGCGGUGCUGAAAUGGAGACGAGUACCCAUCUCGUCGUGGAACCGCUUCCAGAACCUGGAUGUGAAACGGACAUCUCGGUCUGACACCACCGAUACCGGCACUCCAUGACGUGCCACAAUCUCUCGCACAUAGAUAUCGGCUAACUUCUCCGCCGAUAUACUCUCCUGGAUCGGGAUAAAAUGGGCACUCUUCGUCAACCGAUCCACUACUACCCAUAUCGAAUCCACUCCACGUGCGGUCCGGGGAAGCUUGGUGACAAAAUCCAUGGUGAUGUCCUCCCAUUUCCACACGGGAAUGUCUAACGGCUGCAUCCUGCCGUGAGGUCUCUGGUGCUCCGCCUUGACCUUCCGGCAGGUCAGGCAUCUCUCGACGUACCAGGCGACGUCCCGCUUCAUGCAGGGCCACCAAUAAUCAGGUCGAAGAUCUCGAUACAUCUUCGUCGCCCCUGGGUGGAUAGAAAACCGAGACUUAUGAGCCUCAUCCAUCAACACUUGCCGUACUCCACCCCAGUACGGUACCCACACUCUCCCGUGAAGCGUCAGCAAACCACGACUAUCAUAAUCAAACGAGGCUACUCGGCCCACGAUCCUCUCACACUUCUGUCUCUCCUCCUUGAGACCCUCCACCUGAGCCUCCUUGAUCCGCUCCAACAACGGAGUGAUCACUGUCAUCCUCAAACAUAGAUCUCUGAUAGGGGCCGCCGACACUUUGCGGCUCAGGGCAUCGGCCACCACGUUGGCCUUCCCUGGAUGGUAAAGGAUCUCACAGUCGUAAUCCUUUAGCACAUCCAACCACCUCCUCUGCCUCAUGUUCAGACUCGGCUGAUCCAUAAGAUACCUCAAACUCUUGUGAUCCGUGUAAAUAGUACAACGGACCCCAUAAAGGUAAUGCCUCCAAAUCUUGAGGGCAAACACAACUGCCCCCAGCUCCAAAUCAUGGGUAGGAUAAUUAGCCUCGUGAGGCUUCAACUGUCUCGAGGCAUAAGCUAUCACAUGGCCUCGCUGCAUCAGAACUGCUCCCAAACCUGUGAUCGAGGCAUCACAAUAGACUACAAAGUCCUCUACUCCCUCUGGCAAGGUAAGGAUCGGAGCCUCGCACAAUCUCUGCCUGAGGGUCUCGAAUGCUGUCUGCUGCUCCGGACCCCAACGAAAUACCACUGACUUCUUGGUCAGUCGGGUGAGCGGCACUGCUAUCUUGGAGAAAUCCUGAAUAAAUCUCCGAUAAUACCCUGCCAACCCUAGGAAGCUCCGAAUCUCAGAUGGAGACUUCGGGACCUCCCACUGCAUCACGGCCUCUAUCUUGGCCGGAUCUACCAGAAUACCCUUCUGGUUGACGAGGUGACCAAGGAACUGCACCUCGCGCAACCAGAACUCACAUUUGGAGAACUUUGCGAAAAGUCUCUCCCUCCUCAAAACCUCCAGCACCUCCCGCAGGUGCUCCUCGUGCUGCUCCUGCGUCUUGGAAUAUACCAAGAUGUCAUCUAUGAACACUAUCACUGACCGAUCCAGCAUCGGCCUACACACGCGGUUCAUGAGAUCCAUGAACGCGGCUGGAGCAUUGGUGAGCCCAAAUGGCAUCACCACAAACUCGUAAUGACCAUACCUGGUCCUGAAAGCAGUCUUCUGUACAUCCUCAUCUCUAACCCGCAUCUGAUGAUAUCCGGAGCGUAGAUCGAUCUUGGAGAACCAAGACGCUCCCUGAAGCUGAUCAAACAAAUCAUCUAUCCUCGGGAGUGGGUAACGGUUCUUCACCGUUACCUUAUUCAACUCCCGAUAAUCUAUACACAUACGAUGCGACCCAUCCUUCUUCCUCACAAACAGGAUCGGCGCUCCCCAAGGCGAACUGCUCGGCCGAAUGAAACCCUUGUCUAACAGCUCCUGCAGCUGUGUAGACAACUCCUGCAUCUCAGGGGGAGCUAGUCGAUACGGUGCCUUGGCUAUCGGAGCCGCACCAGGAAUGAGGUCGAUCCUGAACUCAACCUGUCUCUCAGGAGGUAUCCCCGGCAAAUCCUCGGGAAACACGUCCGGGUAGUCUCGAACAAUAGGAACAUCAUCAACUGUCGACUUGCCCUUCUCCCGGGCAUCCAAAACGUAAGCUACAAAACCGGCGCAACCCUGCUGAACAUAGCGCCUCGCCCUUGCGGCGGAACAAAAGGUCGGUCCUCGCUGUGGCCUCUCGCCCUGAAUCACCAACUCUCCCCCACUGGGAGUGCGAACCCUCACUAGCUGAAGCUCACAAUCAAUCACCGCCCCAUUGGGGCUUAGCCAAUCCAUACCCACAAUAACCUUAUUCCCUCGCAGGGGAAUAGGUACCAGAUCCACUGAAAACUGCUCAUCAAAUAACUGAAGAGAACACCCUCUAUGCACUCUGCCGACCCUCACGGUCCUAUCAUCCGCUAUCUCAACCUCUAAUGGACAAUCCAGCUCCCCUGGAGCUCUACUGAAUCUCUUGCUAAGCGCAAGUGAUACGAAUGAUCGGGUAGCCCCCGAAUCGAAUAAUACCAUAGCAGAAAUGCCGUUCACAGAGAACGACCCUGAAUAAAACAUACAAUCAUAAGCAAUAUUCAAUCAAUAAUAAUAAAGAGAUAAAGGGAAGAUACAUACCCGUCACCACAUCAGGAGUCGCUCGCGCCUCCUCUGCUGUCAUCUGAAACGCCCUACUCUUCGCCACUGGCGCAUCAGCUCGGCCCUGCCGGCCAUCUGUAAUCCUCAAGGUAGCAGGGGCAGGUGCAGCCACCUUCCCUGCUGCAGCUAAACUCGGACACUGGGACUUUUUAUGUCCCCUCUGAUUGCACUGAAAGCAAAUCAGAUCUGAUGCUGCGACGGCAGUAGCAGGGGCCGUACAAUCCCUACUCAAAUGCCCAAUCCGACCGCACUUGUAGCAGCCGGAACUCCCUGCCUUGCACGCUCCCUCGUGCAAUCUCCCACACUUGCCACAUCGACCGUGGCUCUGCUGACUCCUGGACCUGUGAUCUGAAACCUUGGGCUUUUUGCCCGAACCGCCUGAACCCGAAACCGCCUCCGGUUUCCUCUUCUUCUCCAUCUCGAGAUCAAUCUCCCUCUCCCGAGCCCUAGCAAUCAUAUCUUCCAGCGUUUUACAGCUGGACCGGCUCACAAACUGGCGGAUAUCGCUCCGCAACAUCUCAUGAUAACGGGCCUUCUUCAUUUCCUCAUCAGCUACGUACUAAGGAACGAGAAGAGCCCUCUCCCUGAACUUGGCGGUGAUCUCCGCCACUGUCUCUGUAGUCUAGGUGAGGUCCUGAAACUCCCUAGCUAACUGCUGCACCUCAAUAAUCAAUGCAAACUCCGCCCUGAACCUGGUAGAGAAAUCAGCCAAGUCAUGGCGUCCAAUGCUGCGUCAUCUCCAAUGGAGUGGCCGACCUCCUCCCACCAAUCCCGUGCCCUGUCCUUCAGAAGACAGGAUGCCAAUCUGACAUUGUCCCCCUCGGGACACCUGCUAGUGCGGAAAGCGUUGGCCACAUCCGCCAACCAUCUGGUACUCGCUAUGGGGUCCCGCGCCCCAUGAUAGUCCGGAGCUCCACAUGCCCUGAACUCCCUGAAAGUAAGGGUGCGCGACCCCAUCAUGGCCGCCACCUCGGCACGGAAGGUGCCCAAUCUCUCAUCCAUCAGCUCUAGAAUCCCCUCCUUGAUCGAACCGAAGAUCACAGGAGUCUGCUCUAUAAUGAUGCGCGUAAUCUCCGAAGAAAGAAACUCUCGGGUCUGCUCAUCCAUGCGCUCAUCCCCCGAGCCUGAACCUGAUCCCUCCCCGGCACCUCCACUGCCGGCUGCUGGUCUCGAACGCAAAACCACCAUUCUGAAACACAUCACAACUACAUCAGAAAACUGAAAUAUCUCAAGGGAUCAUUGAUACUACAACUAGCUUCCUGGUCUUGUCUCAGCCUUUCUUGAUUCGAGUACGGAUCCUCUGCUUUCAGUAGUACGGGCCCAUACUACCUUCCACAUCUAUCCGUACUUUCUUCAAGAAGUACCUUGACUCCACCAAGUCACUUCUACUACUACCAAUCUCUGCUACUCUCAUCCUAGGCUUGCCCUAGGGAAACCUCAGACUCAACUCAACUAGUCCUCAGCUGCUGAAGGUCUCCUUAUAAUGCUAAUUAGCCACCACCUGAACACCAUCACAUGUGACGAGGAUCAGAUAAUCCUUCAAGUAAAAGACCCGUCCCUAUAACGGUUGGACUCAAACAAGAGCUGCGCAAUAGGGCCAGUUCCAGCACUCUGGGAUUAUUCAACCCUGAUCACAUGUGGUGUGACGUGUUCACCUAAUGGCUAACUCCCAUCACUCAGAACCCCACAAAGCACGAAGCAAGCAGCAUUCGGAUAAAGGAAACAUACUCAGGCAAAACUAUUCUCAUAACGAGAAACUGUACUAGCAUACAAUGCUAAGCUCAUACUAUCAGGCAUAACCUAAACAGGCUAUCCUACUGCUGUCUACUCAAUACUAGCAUGCAAUACUCAUAAAGCUGUAACACAUAAAGCAGGUACAUAAGGCAUCCUCCUAGAUCCUUAGUCCUAUACUAGCAUGCUGUUCUACUGAAACUGAAACUGAACAAUUAACUUGUAUGGGUAAUUUGGGAGUACUUACUUGAGCUCGGCUGAUCGCAUGCACCACACCCUUAUCUUGUUUAAAAAUUUCUUUCCUUCUAAGUGCUUUCAAAACUCUUUUAGAAAACAUUUUCCUUUUUAGAAAAAUCUUUUUAUUUCCCCUUAGUUUGAGUUCAGAUACACCCGGAAGUGUAUCCGAAUCCCUCAAACCAGGGCUCUGAUACCAACUUGAAACGACCCAAAAAUACGACCCAAAAAUUUCAUUUUUCAAUAUAACCAAAAACCAUAAUCUGAGUGUCAUAUCAUAAAACCAUACGUGAUGUAUCCCAAACAUAAUAAAAACACUGUGCGGAAAACUGUAUCAUAUCCAUGUCAUAUCAAAAUCAAAAACUAAAUCAACUCCCAGGAUAAAAGCUGAAGCUGUGGUGUGUGCGAUGCCAUCAUCCCGAGCUCUUCCCUCUGCUUGCGGAAGUACCUGAAACCAAAACUGAAACUGUAAGCACGAAGCUUAGUGAGCUCCCCCAAACUACCACAUACCAUACAAUAACAUAUCAAGCACAUACUGGGGCCUUGCCCCCUCCAUCGGACCGAAGUCCGAAGCUGACUGACUGGGACCUUGUCCCCUACAUCGGACCGAAGUCCGAAGCUGACUGGGACCUUGUCCCCUACAUCGGACCGAAGUCCGAAGCUGACAUCGGACCGAAGUCCGAAGCUGACUGGGACCUUGUCCCCUACAUCGAACCGAAGUCCGAAGCUGACAUCGGACCGAAGUCCGAAGCUGACUGGGACCUUGUCCCCUACAUCGAACCGAAGUCCGAAGCUGACAUCGGACCGAAGUCCGAAGCUGACUGGGACCUUGUCCCCUACAUCGAACCGAAGUCCGAAGCUGACAUCGGACCGAAGUCCGAAGCUGACUGAUCAUAACAUAAACGUAUCACUUAACAUGAACACACAUAAUCCUGUCUGAGCCACGAAGGCAUCAAACAUGCUAACUACUGCAUCGGAUCAAAAUCCGGAUACUACUGCUAGCUAAACGGGCCGGCAUUGUGGCCUUAGACCCGUUCCUACUGAAAGGAAACUCACCUCGUGAACUGGCUGCUGAGUGAAUAGCUCUGAGGGCUAACUGCUGCUGCUCCGGUAUCUCCCCGGCUACAAGUCCAUAAACACACUCAAUCAAAUACUAAACACUGCACUGGGUAAAAUGACUCUUUUACCCUUGGUCAAAGUCAACUCUCGGUCAAAGUCAACUCUCGGUCAAAGUCAACCCACAGUUGACCUGACUCGCCGAGUUGGGCCGCCAACUCGCCGAGUCCCUAUUCUCACUCCUCGACCCUACUCGCUGCUACUCGUCGAGUAUGGCAUCGACUCGACAAGUACCCUCUCGAUCCAAGAACUCAGACAAUCUUCAUCCGACUCGCCGAGUCAUAUGAACAACUCGACGAGU